AGGGAGCAGCACAGGAAGAGGUCAUUCAGCCCAAGCAGAGCGUGUGGGCAGUUCCUCCCCAGGCGAGCAGUCGGACAGGUCCUGGAGUUUGAGAGUCAGAAGCUAAUGAAAUAUCUGGGAGUGGACAAUGAUCGGGAAAUCUUACGUCCUCCUGUCACUUCUCCAAGAUUUCACAGAUAAACCCACGAUAUUCCCUGCUGAAAUUAUUGCAGGAAAGCGUGUGGAUGUAAGCUGCACCUUCAACACAACGUGCAAUGGAACAGCAGCCCCUGUCUUAACCUGGGACCCUCCCACUGAUGUACCUGGAUCAGUCUCAAACACUGUAACUCAGCAUGGUAUCACUCUGACCUAUACUUCUGUUCUGACCCUAAUCCCAUUACUCAAACACCACGGACACACUCUCAGCUGCAGAGUGAGAUAUCCAUCUGUUUCAUCGGAGCGGACCCUCAUACUAACUGUGCAAGACAGUGGAGGAGAGAUUCUGCACGUGAUCCAGAUCCUGGGAAUACGAGCUGUGAUAUUCCUUGUGGCUGUGGUUAUCACUAUCGCUGGAGUCUGUGUCUGGGAGGGACAAACAGUGAAAGGAAGUCGACAGACUGUUUGAAGCUUUGUACAGCAACAAUCUGCACAAACAGCAAUUUCCAAGCGGACUCCCAUCAGCAGACAGAGUGUAAUGAAACAUCAGCAUGCCUGCUUCUUAAUGUCCGGAGAGAAACCUGGAACGAGAGAUUCUCCUUCUUCUCCUCAGCAAGCUGAAACUUUUCCUUAUACCUGGUGCUCCCUAGUCCUGGUGUGUGGACUCAUCAUAACCACGGCAUUGUCUGGCUGUGUGCAGCCAACAUGGUCGAAUAGGAAUCAACAGAAAUGUGACGUUGCUAAACUCUGUUCUCUGAUUGGAAUGUGCUUUCUGAAUGCUGCACCUUUUUCAUGCUGUGAUUGAUUGUAAGAAGCAUUUGGGUUAUGAAUAAAAUUACA